ACUCAAAGGAAUUGACGGGGGCCCGCACAAGCAGCGGAGCGUGUGGAUUAAUUCGAUGCAACGCGAAGAACCUUACCCAGGCUUGACAUGGCGCUGGUAGGGACCCGAAAGGGAACCGACCCGCAAGGGAGGCGUCACCGGUGCUGCAUGGCUGUCGUCAGCUCGUGCCGUGAGGUGUUGGGUUAAGUCCCGCAACGAGCGCAACCCCCGUCCUCAGUUGCUGUUUCUGGGGAGACUGCCGGGCGAACCCCGGAGGAAGGUGGGGACGACGUCAAGUCCGCAUGGCCCUUACGUCUGGGGCUUCACACACGCUACAAUCGCCGGGACAGCGGGACGCGACUGCGCGAGCAGGAGCCAAUCCCCCAAAGCCGGCGUCAGUCCGGAUCGGAGGCUGCAACCCGCCUCCGUGAAGUCGGAGUUGCUAGUAACCGCGCGUCAGCAUAGUGCGGUGAAUGCGUUCCCGGGCCUUGUACACACCGCCCGU
rnacentral:rRNA from 1 species